rnacentral:rRNA from 1 species
GUGUCAGCCGCCGCGGUAAGACGAACCGUGCGAACGUUGUUCGGAAUCACUGGGCUUAAAGGGCGCGUAGGCGGGCUCCCAAGUCCGGGGUGAAAUCUUUCGGCCUAACCGGAAAAGUGCCUUGGAUACUGGGAGCCUGGAGGGAGGUAGGGGCGGAUGGAACUUCCGGUGGAGCGGUGAAAUGCGUUGAUAUCGGAAGGAACGCCGGUGGCGAAAGCGAUCCGCUGGACCUCUACUGACGCUGAGGCGCGAAAGCCAGGGGAGCAAACGGGAUUAGAUACCCCAGUAGUCC